UGGAUCCAGACUUUGAUUCUGGCUCAGGACGAACGCUGGCGGCGUGCUUAACACAUGCAAGUCGAACGGAGAACUUAUUUCGGUAAGUUCUUAGUGGCGAACGGGUGAGUAACGCGUGGGCAACCUGCCCUCCAGUUGGGGACAACAUUCCGAAAGGGAUGCUAAUACCGAAUGUGCUCCCUCCUCCGCAUGGAGGAGGGAGGAAAGAUGGCCUCUGCUUGCAAGCUAUCGCUGGAAGAUGGGCCCGCUUCUGAUUAGCUAGUUGGUGGGGUAACGGCUCACCAAGGCGAUGAUCAGUAGCCGGUCUGAGAGGAUGAACGGCCACAUUGGGACUGAGACACGGCCCAAACUCCUACGGGAGGCAGCAGUGGGGAAUCUUCCGCAAUGGACGAAAGUCUGACGGAGCAACGCCGCGUGAGUGAUGAAGGUCUUCGGAUUGUAAAACUCUGUUGUUAGGGACGAAAGCACCGUGUUCGAACAGGUCAUGGUGUUGACGGUACCUAACGAGGAAGCCACGGCUAACUACGUGCCAGCAGCCGCGGUAAUACGUAGGUGGCAAGCGUUGUCCGGAAUUAUUGGGCGUAAAGAGCAUGUAGGCGGGCUUUUAAGUCUGACGUGAAAAUGCGGGGCUUAACCCCGUAUGGCGUUGGAUACUGGAAGUCUUGAGUGCAGGAGAGGAAAGGGGAAUUCCCAGUGUAGCGGUGAAAUGCGUAGAUAUUGGGAGGAACACCAGUGGCGAAGGCGCCUUUCUGGACUGUGUCUGACGCUGAGAUGCGAAAGCCAGGGUAGCAAACGGGAUUAGAUACCCCGGUAGUCCUGGCCGUAAACGAUGGAUACUAGGAGUAGGAGGUAUCGACCCCUUCUGUGCCGGAGUUAACGCAUAAGUAUCCCGCCUGGGGACUACGAUCGCAAGAUU
rnacentral:rRNA from 1 species